UACAGAGGUGGCAAGCGUUGUUCGGAAUUACUGGGCGUAAAGGGCGCGUAGGCGGUUCGUUAAGUCCUGUGUGAAAUCCCCCGGCUCAACUGGGGAACUGCACAGGAAACUAGCGGGCUUGAGUUCGGGAGAGGGAAGCGGAAUUCCGGGUGUAGCGGUGAAAUGCGUAGAUAUCUGGAGGAAUACCGGUGGCGAAGGCGGCAUCCUGGACCGGCAUUGACGCUGAGGAGCGAAAGCUAGGGGAGCAAACGGG
rnacentral:rRNA from 1 species